rnacentral:rRNA from 1 species
UAGGGAAUCUUCCACAAUGGACGCAAGUCUGAUGGAGCAACGCCGCGUGAGUGAAGAAGGUCUUCGGAUCGUAAAGCUCUGUUGUUGGUGAAGAAGGAUAGAGGCAGUAACUGGUCUUUAUUUGACGGUAAUCAACCAGAAAGUCACGGCUAACUACGUGCCAGCAGCCGCGGUAAUACGUAGAUGGCAAGCGUUGUCCGGAUUUAUUGGGCGUAAAGCGAGCGCAGGCGGAAUGAUAAGUCUGAUGUGAAAGCCCACGGCUCAACCGUGGAACUGCAUCGGAAACUGUCAUUCUUGAGUGCAGAAGAGGAGAGUGGAACUCCAUGUGUAGCGGUGGAAUGCGUAGAUAUAUGGAAGAACACCAGUGGCGAAGGCGGCUCUCUGGUCUGCAACUGACGCUGAGGCUCGAAAGCAUGGGUAGCGAACAGGAUUAGAUACCCUGGUAGUCCAUGCCGUAAACGAUGAGCGCUAGGUGUUGGGGACUUUCCGGUUCUCAGUGCCGCAGCAAACGCAUUAAGCGCUCCGCCUGGGGAGUACGACCGCAAGGUUGAAAC